rnacentral:rRNA from 1 species
GAUGAACGCUGACAGAAUGCUUAACACAUGCAAGUCUUUGGCGAAGCUGUGCUCGCACAGCCUAACCACGGCGGACGGGUGAGUAACGCGUAAGGAACUUGCCCUGCAGUCAGGUAUAACAGACGGAAACGACUGAUAAGACCUGGUAAAGUCAGGCGGACUCAUGUCCAGCCUGAUGAAAAGAGAUGCUGCAGGAGAGCCUUGCGUCCUAUUAGCUUGUUGGUGGGGUAACGGCCCACCAAGGCGAUGAUAGGUAGCCGGCCUGAGAGGGUGGACGGCCACAAGGGGACUGAGAUACGGCCCUUACUCCUACGGGAGGCAGCAGUGGGGAAUAUUGGACAAUGGGGGCAACCCUGAUCAAGCAAUUCUGUGUGCACGAUGAAGGUUUUCGGAUUGUAAAGUGCUUUCAGCAGGGAAGAAAAAAAUGACGGUACCUGCAGAAGAAGCGACGGCUAAAUACGUG